UUGUAACGUGCUGACGUCACGCAGAGGAAAGUGGCAGACGCGCGCAGUGUGUGUGUGCCGGCGGGAGCUGUCAUUAUGCGUCGCUGUGGGCGCGCAACGGCGGCACGGAGAAGGUUAUUGCUUGGUGACGUCACCGGUGUCUAGGCGGCUGAUACGAAAUGGUGGAGAACGAGUCUGUGCGGGUGUACUCCGGCGUGUUGGCUGACCUGGAGAAACUAACCAGUGAAGCAGGGGUACUGGCUGAGCAUAAUAAGCGAAUAAGAGAGAACAACAUGGCACUGAAAACGUUAAACACAAGCUUUGAUCAGGUCCAGUCCAGACUUGUGCGUGUUGCCGCUAUAAAGCCAGGCCUCUGCAAAACCCUUCUGUAAAACAUGUUCCACCAUAAUGAUCAUAUAGCAGGAGAUGAAGCCCACUAUAUCAAGUUUGCUCUCCACUUAUCGUUUCCGUAUAUUUAAUAUGUUAAGCCUUCUGUGCACAUAUGCAGUGUGUCAGUGUAGUUUAGUGUUCUAGAGUUUUAUUGAUAAAAAGGCCCAAAUGUAUUAAGACUUAACAAGAGAUAAAGUGGAGACGGAUAAAGAGUGCUAAAGUACCAGCUAAUCAGCUUCCUAACUGCCAUGUCACAGGCUGUGUUUGAAAAAUGACAGUUAGGAGCUGAUUGGCUGGUCAUUUAUCACUCUUUAUCCAUCUCCACUAUAUAACUUGUUAAGGUUUAAUACAUUUGGUCCAAUGUAUGUUUGGAGAUGAUCACUGAUGUCGGGGCAUAAAAUAACAUGCAAUGUAUGUUCAUUGUGCUUUGUUUGGAUACAUAGUAGAUGGUUCCAAAACAAUCUAUUUUAUUAAUUGAAUAGCAAUAUAAAUUAAAAGCAGUAUUUGACUGAUUAGAUAUUUUUUGACUUGCCCUUUUUGUAGACUUUAUCUAUUUAAUAUUGCAUUGACUUUAAUGGGAAGCUAUGCUGAAACAUUGUUCCAUUUGUUUAUAAACCAGUACCUGCUUUUCAUAGUUCUUAUUGGUAAAUAAACCAUGAUACAUCCA